CAAGAAGGUCCAGGGGCUCUCCAAAUAAGCAUUGUUCCAGUUAAAGGACUGAACUCUUUUACAAGAUAAAGAGAGAACCGACGAUCAGUCCAGAGCGCGCCAUUCAAUUGACUAAAUGGCUGAAAAAUAAUAUCUGGCUCGCAGGUCAGGUUGCCCAACACAUGCGGGAAGCUGCAAUGCAUCGAGGAGCACAGAUCCAAUCAAAUGGGACAAUCCCACUGCAGCAAAUAUUGGCCGUUUCCACGUUUGUUGGAAACACCAGGCAUGGUGAGGUUUUACCUCAUAUUAGGAUCAGUUAAACACUCAACUGCAAUACCA